rnacentral:tRNA from 1 species
GUACUCUAAGGUAAUUUACCUCCUUGAUAUCUUCAAUAUCAUGCUCUAAAAUAAGCUAUUAAAAUA